rnacentral:rRNA from 1 species
UACAGAGGGUGCGAGCGUUAAUCGGAAUUACUGGGCGUAAAGCGCACGUAGGCGGCUUGGUAUGUCGGGUGUGAAAUCCCCGGGGCUCAACCUCGGAACUGCCUUUGAUACUGCAAAUCUCGAGUCCGGAAGAGGUGAGUGGAAUUCCUAGUGUAGAGGUGAAAUUCGUAGAUAUUAGGAAGAACACCAGUGGCGAAGGCGGCUCACUGGUCCGGUACUGACGCUGAGGUGCGAAAGCGUGGGGAGCAAACAGG